GGGGGGAAAUUAAUUAAAUAUAAGUAAUAAAAAAAUUUUUAAUAUUGGGGGGUAUUAAAGUAUUUUUUUAAGAAAAAAUAAUUAAUUUUAUAUAGAAUUAGUAUUGAAAAAGAAAUUUGAAAUAAAUGAAAUAAAAAUUAAAAAUAAAGUAAUUUUAAUUUAAUGUAUCUUGUGUAUCAGAGUUUAUUAAAAAAUAUUUUUUAUAAAAAAAAAUCUCGAAUUUAAAAGAGUUAAUUGAUUAAAAAAGUUAAUGUAGAAUAAUUAUUUUUAAUAAUCAAUUUGAAAUGAAAUGUUAAUCGUUUUUAAAUAUAUCUAGUUAUUUUAGAAAAAAAUUUAAUUUAAAAUUUAAAAAAUUUUAUUAAUAAGUAUAAUUAUUAAUAAAAUAUUUAAAAUUAAAUAUAUUAAGGGAUAAGCUUUAAUAUAAAAAUUUAUAAUUAAAUAAAAUAAAAAUUAGAAUUUUAAGAUUUAUAUUGUUUAUAAAUUAUAAUUUAUUAUAAAAAAAUUUAAUGAAAAAUAAAAUUUAAAAUUAAAAAUUUAAUUUUUUAUAAAUAAAUAAUUUUUAAUAAAAGAAAAUUAUAAAUAAUGAUAAAAUUAGUAUAAAAAUAAAAAUAAUAUUUAAAUAUUAAAAAUUAAAUUAAAGGAAUUCGGCAAAAAUUUAUAUUCACUUGUUUAUCAAAAACAUGUCUUUUAGAUAAUAAUUUAAAGUCUAAUCUGCCCACUGAUAAAAUUAUUAAAGGGCUGCAGUAUAUUGACUGUACAAAGGUAGCAUAAUCAAUAGUCUUUUAAUUGAAGACUUGUAUGAAAGAUUUAAUGAGAUAUAAACUGUCUCUAAUUUAAAAAUAGAAAUUAAUUUUUUAGUUAAAAAGCUAAAAUAAAUUUAAAAGACGAGAAGACCCUAUAGAGUUUUAUAUUAAAAUUAUUUAAGAUUAUAUUUAUAAUUAAUGAUUAAAAAUAAAAUUAAUAUUUUAUUGGGGUGAUAAAAAAAUUUAAUUAACUUUUUUUAAAAAUUUAAAACAUAAAUAAGUGAAUAAUUGAUCCAUAAUUUAUGAUUAAAAGAAAAAAUUACCUUAGGGAUAACAGCGUAAUAUUUUUUUUUAGUACAAAUAAGAAAAAAAGUUUGCGACCUCGAUGUUGGAUUAAGAUAAAAUUUAAAUGCAAAAGUUUAAAAUUUUGAUCUGUUCGAUCAUUAAAAUCUUACAUGAUCUGAGUUCAAACCGGUGUGAGCCAGGUUGGUUUCUAUCUUUAAAAUAAUGAAAUAUUUUAGUACGAAAGGAUCAAAUAUUUUUAAUAAUUAAAAUUUAUGAAUAUUAUUAAUUUAAAUUAUAG
rnacentral:rRNA from 1 species